GACGAACGCUGGCGGCGUGCUUAACACAUGCAAGUCGAACGGAAAGGCCCUGCUUUUGUGGGGUGCUCGAGUGGCGAACGGGUGAGUAACACGUGAGUAACCUGCCCUUGACUUUGGGAUAACUUCAGGAAACUGGGGCUAAUACCGGAUAGGAGCUCCUGCUGCAUGGUGGGGGUUGGAAAGUUUCGGCGGUUGGGGAUGGACUCGCGGCUUAUCAGCUUGUUGGUGGGGUAGUGGCUUACCAAGGCUUUGACGGGUAGCCGGCCUGAGAGGGUGACCGGCCCCACUGGGUCUGAGCUACGGCCCAGCCUCCUCCGCGAGGCAGCAGUGGAGAAUAUUGCACUAUGGGCGGAAGCCUGAUGCAGCAACGCCGCGUGCGGUAUGACGGCCUUCGGUUUGUAAACCGCUUUCGCCUGUGCCGAAGCGUGAGUGACGGUAAUGGGUAAAGAAGCCCCGGCUAACUACGUG
rnacentral:rRNA from 1 species